UUGAAGGUCAAAUCUAGCCCGAAUCGGAUGCAUGAACACAUAUUAAUGAUCACCUAGUCGUGGGGAUCACAAGUUUGACGCGUAACAAGCUAGGUGAAAGCUUGGAGGACGGAGCGAGUCAAACGGAGCAAGUACGGAAAGAAAAGCGUGGCAUGGAUACGAGGUGAUUGCCAAGAGUGCCCGGAUGAAGAUCAAGCUCGAGAAGAACCGAACACGAUAAAGUUAAAAGCUUCCGCGUGGCGUUUCGUCGUAUUUUUUA
rnacentral:lncRNA from 1 species